rnacentral:rRNA from 1 species
UGAAGAUGCAGUGUACCCGCGGCAAGACGGAAAGACCCCGUGAACCUUUACUAUAGCUUGACACUGAACAUUGAGCCUUGAUGUGUAGGAUAGGUGGGAGGCUUUGAAGUGUGGACGCCAGUCUGCAUGGAGCCGACCUUGAAAUACCACCCUUUAAUGUUUGAUGUUCUAACGUGGACCCGUGAUCCGGGUUGCGGACAGUGUCUGGUGGGUAGUUUGACUGGGGCGGUCUCCUCCUAAAGAGUAACGGAGGAGCACGAAGGUUGGCUAAUCCUGGUCGGACAUCAGGAGGUUAGUGCAAUGGCAUAAGCCAGCUUGACUGCGAGCGUGACGGCGCGAGCAGGUGCGAAAGCAGGUCAUAGUGAUCCGGUGGUUCUGAAUGGAAGGGCCAUCGCUCAACGGAUAAAAGGUACUCCGGGGAUAACAGGCUGAUACCGCCCAAGAGUUCAUAUCGACGGCGGUGUUUGGCACCUCGAUGUCGGCUCAUCACAUCCUGGGGCUGAAGUAGGUCCCAAGGGUAUGGCUGUUCGCCAUUUAAAGUGGUACGCGAGCUGGGUUUAGAACGUCGUGAGACAGUUCGGUCCCUAUCUGCCGUGGGCGCUGGAGAACUGAGGGGGGCUGCUCCUAGUACGAGAGGACCGGAGUGGACGCAUCACUGGUGUUCGGGUUGUCAUGCCAAUGGCACUGCCCGGUAGCUAAAUGCGGAAGAGAUAAGUGCUGAAAGCAUCUAAGCACGAAACUUGCCCCGAGAUGAGUUCUCCCUGAGACUUAGAGUCUCCUGAAGGAACGUUGAAGACGACGACGUUGAUAGGCCGGGUGUGUAAGCGCAGCGAUGCGUUGAGCUAACCGGUACUAAUGAACCGUGAGGCUUAACCUU